GACGAACGCUGGCGGCGUGCUUAACACAUGCAAGUCGAACGGAAAGGCCCUGCUUUUGUGGGUUGCUCGAGUGGCGAACGGGUGAGUAACACGUGAGUAACCUGCCCUUGACUUUGUGAUAACUUCAGGAAACUGGGGCUAAUACCGGAUAGGAGCUCCUGCUGCAUGGUGGGGGUUGGAAAGUUUCGGCGGUUGGGGAUGGACUCGCGGCUUAUCAGCUUGUUGGUGGGGUAGUGGCUUACCAAGGCUUUGACGGGUAGCCGGCCUGAGAGGGUGACCGGCCACAUUGGGACUGAGAUACGGCCCAGACUCCUACGGGAGGCAGCAGUGGGGAAUAUUGCACAAUGGGCGGAAGCCUGAUGCAGCAACGCCGCGUGCGGGAUGACGGCCUUCGGGUUGUAAACCGCUUUCGCCGGUGACGAAGCGUGAGUGACGGUAAUGGGUAAAGAAGCACCGGCUAACUACGUG
rnacentral:rRNA from 1 species